rnacentral:lncRNA from 1 species
AUGCUUUUAGACCAGCCCAAUCAGGCCACCCCUCUGGGGUGGAUUCCCUACUAGAUAUGUAUAUAAUUGGGACAUUGCCACCCUCGCCCACCCCCCACACACACACCAAUUCUUGAUUUUAAAAAAGUUCUAUUAACGACAGGUUGUGGUUGUGUUACUCUCCCAAGCCUGGAAUAUUUUAUUUAUUGAAGAAUAUUUUCAUUUCCACAGUGGUUUCAUUCUAAUCCCGCCCAUCCCCUAGGCUGCAGAGCAUCUUCAUGUGAAGAGACGGACAGAUGUCAAGAGAUUCAGGCUGCUCUAAGAAGGAAGUCCCUUUGCUGCCCCCUGCUGGCCAGGGUGGCUUCUCCAGUGUCCAGUCCAAGAGGAUCAGAUUCCCAGGCUGGUGUGAACAGGACAAAUGGGAGUGGGACAACCGAUGCCAGAGGAGAUGGCGACAUCUUUUCUGCCGUAGUUGCUGUCGUGAGCUCGGUGUCUAUAAGCUAACGGCCAUCCGCGUCUGUGUCUUCGGCCAGCUCCUGGUACGGCUGUUUUCUGCUGUUCCCCCGGGGUUAAGUCGUGCAAGGUUUUGCCAGUGAGGUGUUGCUGUCACACGUACUGUACCGGCAUAGAGAGCACUGCUUUGUUUUCCACUGUUGUAGAGAAAACUAGGGAGAACUUUAUUUUUCAAUAAACUUUUCUUGUGUGACAGGUGGACCUGAUUUGUGGGGGGCGGGUGAGAGGUUCCGGGUGGGUGCACGGGGUGUGAUACAGCCACUCCCCCAGCACUGGCGGCCGCGAUUUCACCGUCUGCAGACCCGCUGCUGGAAACCUUGAUGGGAAGGUAGGUGUAAGGCACUGGGGGAGGGGUAGGUGUUCACUGUGUAAGACUCUUCCCUUCGAUCACAUCCACCGGUACUGAUGGUGGAGCGCUCCUCCUCCCUGUACGUACCUAGAGGGAACUCAAUUUGUCAGUGGAUUCCUAGGCUUUCCUUUUUAAAAUAACCGGGGCUACAAUGGAUGUUUAAACUGCUUCAGGAUGUGCUAGUACGGUAGCCCUUAAGAGGCUGUCUGUGGGCUUAUUAGACCUGGACCACAUUUCCCUGCCUCAGAAAGAACACCCUGACCCCACAGCGCAGUGGUCCAUGAGCACUUGGUUAGGCAUGUGCCCCAGGAACAAGGAAGGUCAAGUUCAUGCUCCCACUAGGGGCUUGUUGUAGGUGAUGCUGGAGGGCAUGGCACAGCCUCUCUGAAGACAGCAGAGUGCCUGGAUGCUGCCCGAGCAGAGACUUCAUGGGAGACACCUGGCAUCUUUGAUGGGACACAAGUCCCCGGAAAGGUGAGCAUAACUUGAGUGCUUAAGUUUUGAGGAUGCGACGCAGAUUCCACCGUGGGAACUACAUUAAAUACAGGAAAAAAAAACCUGCAGAAAAGGAACCUGUUGCAUCUUGUAUUUCCCAGACCAGAACAGUGUCUGUUUUGUGUGUGUGAGACAUGGUAACAGCCCCUAGAACAUGCUGCAGAAUGCCAUUGGAGAAAAGCACUCUUGAAAGCAUCGGACUGAACCAAGGUCAGUGACCUCUUAGAAUAGACCACCUGCCCUUCAGGGGCUCUACCGGGGCACAAGUCGUCCUUCACCCACGACAGAAAACCUGCCCACAGCAGUGACAACUCUGGCGAUCACCUCCCCAUACCAUACAAAACAGGAAAAGGUCUUUAUUGGUCACGCUGCCUGUACGGCUGUUUUCUGCUGUUCCCCGGGUUAAGUCGUGCAAGGUUUUGCCAGUGAGGUGUUGCUGUCACACGUACUGUACCGGCAUAGAGAGCACUGCUUUGUUUUCCACUGUUGUAGAGAAAACUAGGAGAACUUUAUUUUCAAUAAACUUUUCUUGUGUGACAGGU